rnacentral:rRNA from 1 species
GACGAACGCUGGCGGCGUGCUUAACACAUGCAAGUCGAACGAUGAACCCGGAGCUUGCUCUGGGGGAUUAGUGGCGAACGGGUGAGUAACACGUGAGUAACCUGCCCUGGACUCUGGGAUAAGCGUUGGAAACGACGUCUAAUACCGGAUAGGACCUUGGGUCGCAUGGUCUGGGGUGGAAAGUUUCGUCGGUCUGGGAUGGACUCGCGGCCUAUCAGCUUGUUGGUGGGGUAAUGGCUCACCAAGGCGUCGACGGGUAGCCGGCCUGAGAGGGUGACCGGCCUCAUUGUGACAGAGGGACGAGCCAGCCUCGUACGGCAGCCAGCGGGAGUAAUUAUUGAUGAGCGAGCGCAUGCUUGAGCAACGCCCCCUGCGUGCGGACGGCCGGCCUGUUGUUAGCCACCCGUAGUAGGGUAUGAGGGCGCCGGCGUGACGGUACCGGGUGAAGAAGCACCGGCUAACUACGUG